rnacentral:sRNA from 12 species
AAUGAUACUUCUGCCGAAAGCAAGCUCGCCGAGAGGCGGGAUGUGUUGUUUAAGACGGAAAGAAUGUCUGUUGCAGCACAU